GAUGCUUAUUACUGUGACAAGAUAUCAGUGCUAUUCCUGUUCAUAAGUGAUGCUUAUUACUGUAACAGGAGAUCAGUGCUAUUCCUGUUCAUAGGUUAUGCUUAUUACUAUAACAGGAGAUCAGUGCUAUUCCUGUUCAUAGGUUAUGCUUAUUACUAUAACAGGAGAUCAGUGCUAUAACUAGAAUCUUAUGAAUCUCACGUCAUCAUCUCAGAGACAUUUGUGAGUGGCAUUGGGUGACAUAGGGUCCUAUUCCUGCCUAUAAGGGAUGCUGCAUAACAAGUUAUAAUGCCAUAACAACAUGGCUAUAAAGCCAUCACAUGCUUACAGACAAAGGUACUAAACAGAAGAAGUUGCCCCUAGGCACCGAUUCUGGGUCAGACAUUAGUUGCAUCCCCCUACCAGUUAAAGUUAUUGUUGGGGCUAGGUGAUCUGAUCCUAGAUCUGUGGUUAGGGACAACAGUAGAAAUUCCCACCAAGGGCAAUGUGACGAGGAGAUAUAACUGGACAGAGAUGAGAGAUGUAUAGUGAAUAGGUUGUACCCUGCCUUUGACCAGGCCCCAUAGGGCCCUAUAGGAGAUCAAUCAGAGAUACUGUGAGUUCGAGAGAGAUACUGUUUACUGGGACCUGGAUGAAACUGCUGUCUUUAAGGCACUUUAUUAAAAACACACACACACACACACACAGGUGCACUCACACACACACACAGGUGCACUCAAACACACACACACAGACACACACACACACAGGUGCACUCAAACACACACACACACACACACAGGCGCACUCAAACACACACAUAAGCACACUCAUCUAAGACAAACAGACAAACCCUACAGGUAACUUUAGGCAGUUAUCUGUAUGUAAAUAGGGCCGUUUGGGGACACACCCCCACAGUGAGUUCCAGUGAGUCAGGAUGCCUUUCCCUCUGUGGCCUCCAGGGGGUAGCAUGGUACUGUGUGUGUUUGGGAGACUGGUGAUUAUGAAUGAGUAACAUGAUUAUUAACAGACACUAUGUCUCUGUGUGACUGAGAGAGGAUUCAUUCAUAAAUUCUACUGUGAGGUUGUGUGCGUGCUUGUGAGUGUGUGUUUCAGUUAAUUGUUUGACUAUUUGAUGGGCCAUUAUUAAAGAGUGGUAUUGGGAACCACCCCUUGUACACAUACACACACACACACAAUCUCUAGGAAUGGAAAUGAGAUUGUAGGACCCAGCUCUGUGCGGCUGUACAUGUAUGGGUCUGUAUUUUGUAGAUUGUUUUUUGAAUUAAAAUACUAAUAAUUAAUAACUGUCAUUUUCUCUGUGGGUGUGUUUGGAGGGGGGGGUGAACGUAAUGGAUCUCCUUGCUGACUUGUGUCCAAGGUCUGUCUGUUUAUUGAUACUGUCUCCCCCUAUUGGUCGUGGUGAGCAGUGCUCUUCAGUUCUGAAGCUCAGUCUUCACUCAUCGCCUGGUGAGGAGCUAUGAAAUAUGGUUCUCUUUAAGGUAUCAGAAAGCCUGGUGAGGAGCUAUGAAAUAUGGUUCUCUUUAAGGUAUCAGAAAGCCUGGUGAGGAGCUAUGAAAUAUGGUUCUCUUUAAGGUAUCAGAAAGCCUGGUGAGGAGCUAUGAAAUAUGGUUCUCUUUAAGGUAUCAGAAAGCCUGGUGAGGAGCUAUGAAAUAUGGUUCUCUUUAAGGUAUCAGAAAGCCGUUGAACCAGAAACACACUGGAGAAACUGAUGGCCGAGGUAGGUUACUUAGCAACUCUGACUAAAAUGUCGGCCGUCCUCUCUUUCACAACCGGAGACAACCGUCCUCGCUUUCACAACCAGAGACAACCGUCCUCGCUUUCACAACCGGAGACAACCGUCCUCGCUUUCACAACCGGAGAUAUGUGUUUGACGUCGGCAGUUUGCUUUUUUGUGACGACAGGACCGCACUAAACUUUCA
ensembl:lncRNA